AGGUGCUAGUGAAGUUUGCAGCAAGAAACCGCUUAUUUUUCAAAGGCGAGGAAUCGCUCCGUUGCAGCAGCAGCGGUUUCAGUGCCCAUUUUGUGGGACUCGGAGGCUAGCAGCAAGCCCAGGGCUCCGCCUCAGAAAGGUCAGGAAGGUUUUAUGUUUUAAAAAGUCAUUACAGAAUCUUGGAAAUCUUUUUUCUUUUUUUGUUUCCCUCCCCAUAGGAAGAGACCACUGUAAAUAAAAAUAGCACUGAAUGGUUAGCUGUGAUUGCAAAAAGAAAAAAAGACCAAAAUGAGGGAAUUUCUCCAAUGCUCUGGAAGACGCCUUUACAAUCACAGCGCUAGGUCACCGCUGUGAAGCAGCACUGAGGCACCUUUGCUAUUUUUAGAGGAAACUUCCCUGCGGAUGCGUUUGAAAGGGAGACAGCAAGGAGGUGUGGUUGCUGCGCUUGAAUUCUACAGUGUCCUUCAGGGACCUUUUGACCUGCCUGUGCCUCAGUCAACUCAGCUGGAAAAUUGGGUAAAGAGCAAAGCCCGUUAGAAAACCAUCUUCAAUUUGAACAAAGAUUUCCUGGAGAUCCAAAAAAGUGAGUGUAGUCAUUUUGUACAGACAUAAUUGAUUGUGGCCCCCACAAGAAUAACAUCCUGAGCUGUGGGAUACAAUUGAUGACAUCUCAUUCAUUGUGGUGGCUGGGUGGUCUCUGCUUCUUCCACUGUAGCUGGUCCACAUUUCAUGUGUUCAAAGCCGUAUUUUCACUUUCAUGGCAUUAGCCUAGCUGUAUCUGUCCUCGUUACGAAUGUGCCUCAAAUAUUACAUGACUGUAAGAAGGUACUGGGAGGUAAUUAC